CUCACCCAAUUACCUUUCCUAGUAUAUCUUCAUCUUGUUAAAGUGUAUGAGAACUGCUUUGGAGAGUCUAAUAAGUCCAAAUGAGCAUUAAAAAGGAGAGAGAGUAGGAGAAGUAUCUCUUGAGAAAGAUUAAAAAGCGAGCACAGGCUGAGUGCAGUGGGUCACGCCUGUAGUCUCAGCACUUUGGGAGGUCGAGGUAGGCAGAUUGCUGGAACUCAGGAGUUCGAGACCAGCCUGGACAACAUGGCAAAAUCCUGUUUCUACAAAAGAUAGCAAGAAAUAUGGGUAUCUCACUGUGAUACAGAAAUGAAAGGAUUUCCCACAUGGGUCAAAAAUACAAAACUCUUCUACAUAUGUGCACAAUGUGUAUGUUUAUGGAGGUUUGGGAUGAGAUUAUUAAAUGGUUCUCCUGUGGAGGCUGCAAGUCAUGAGCCUGCUUCUAUGGAAGGACUGUUUUCUAUUUGAUUGGGAAGUGUUAGAAUGGCAACAGUGACAAAUCCUGUGGCAAAUCUUCAUGCAAAGGUGCUAAGAAUUCAGUGAUGAAAACAUGAUGUAUCCUAGGCAUGGAAAUAAUAUUCUAGUGAUUUCUUCUUGACAAUUAGAUUAUGUUGAAUUUAGCAGCGAUUUUUUUUUAACUUUUACUCUAGUAGUUUGUUGGACUCUUUUUCCCCAUUUCCAAUUUUUUGAAUUAUGAGUUAAUUUUCUUCCUUCUAAUUCUCCUCAGUUUUAUUCUCCAUAUAAUUUGCAUUGUAUUUCCAUUUUAAAAUCCAAUAAAAUAAAAAUCAUAUAAAUGC
rnacentral:lncRNA from 10 species